rnacentral:rRNA from 1 species
GACGAACGCUGGCGGCGUGCUUAACACAUGCAAGUCGAACGGAAAGGCCCUGCUUUUGUGGGGUGCUCGAGUGGCGAACGGGUGAGUAACACGUGAGUAACCUGCCCUUGACUUUGGGAUAACUUCAGGAAACUGGGGCUAAUACCGGAUAGGAGCUCCUGCUGCAUGGUGGGGGUUGGAAAGUUUCGGCGGUUGGGGAUGGACUCGCGGCUUAUCAGCUUGUUGGUGGGGUAGUGGCUUACCAAGGCUUUGACGGGUAGCCGGCCUGAGCGGGUGAACAGCCACAAUGGGACUAAGAUACGGCCCAGACUCCUACGGGAGGCAGCAGUGGGGAAUAUUGCACAAUGGGCGGAAGCCUGAUGCAGAGACGCCGCGUGCGGGAUGACGGCCUUCGGGUGGUAAACCGCUUUCGCCUGUGACGAAGAGUGAGUGACGGUAAUGGGUAAAGAAGCACCGGCUAACUACGUG